rnacentral:tRNA from 1 species
GGUGCUGUGGCUUAUGUGGUUAAAGUGCCUGUCUCAUAAACAGGAGAUCCUGGGUUCGAAUCCCAGCAGUGCCU